GAAAGCUUCAGCAUCCAGGGUGAUGAUAGACAUGGUCUGCUAAAUAUCAAAUUCAAGCUCAUACUCCUGUCCGAGUUCAUCAAAGGAUCUAUGAAUUUUCAAAGCAAAUGCCUAAAGUAUUUCAUUUUCAAUCGCUUCCCCACAAAAAAUUGAUCAAUUUUUUCCAGGAGUUUAUCCCAAAUGAAAGGGACAUUGGAGUGUAUUUCUUUACCAGUGACAUUGAGAGGUGUUUCUCCAUUCUGUAUUCAUGAACAUGUCCUUGACGGGCAAACUGCAUUUUCUUGUUGAAGUAAAAUACGCAGAUUCAUUUUCAUUUAUUGAUGGUUGGGUAGUUGAUCCCAAAACUCCAUUUUGUCCAGGCUUGUUUUCUCAUCCUGCAUGCUUGUCGUUCACCUAGUUGAAGAAUAUCCAGUCUGUGUCAGGUUGUCCUAAAUAGCUGCUCCUAAAGAUGGUUCCAAACUCAACAAUGGCAACUAAACAUGAGGGUUAUGCUCGUUGCAUUGACUUUUGGUUUGUCAAAAGAACAUCCUCGGAUUAUUUGACAUUGAUUGCGAGCCUCACACUGCAAGCAACCACUUAAACGGUGAACUAUUCUUUCUUACAUUUUUGCUUCACUUCUCAACCAUUUAGUUCGGAUGAUAAUGCUGCUAGUUGCCUUUCAAUCCCUAAGACGACAAACAAAGGGGAUGUGAUCCUUUUAGCCACAGUUAUCUAUGCAGAAGAUUUGAGGUCCUCUUGAUUAAGUUGAUCGUAUCCAAUUAGACUGUGGCACUAGGGAUAUCCUGCUGCUUACACUGUCAUCAAAGAGUAAUCACUUCUUCCCUCCUCCACCUGACGUGUGAAGGGAAAGUGAAAAUGACAAAAUGUGGUCCGUGCUGUCAUAAUGUCUCUGUCAUCACUUUCAGGUGCCUUCUUCAAGUGCUUGCUGAUGUCAUGUUUGUUCAAAAGGAAAAAUACUAGGGAAAAGAUUGAACUUGUUGCAAAAAUAUAUUAUGUUGCUUGGUUUGAAUUGCAAAUAAAUUCAAACCCAUCUUUCUUGGUAGAUAUUUUUCUGGAGGGUAUUGAAAUAAGACCCCCUAAAAAUUCUGCAUUUUAUUUUGAUAGGAAAACAAGGGCUAGUGGUUUCUUAUGCACCAGUCUAAUGGGAUUUUCCUCUUUAGCUACUUUCAGGAUUUCUUGUUUUUUUCCUAUUUUCCUCUAUAUUUUUCUGAUUGUUUCACCUUGCAGUGAGGUUGAGUUGUAGCAGACGCAGGAAUAGGAUUUACUCACAUGAGAGGGAACUUAUUUUUUACCGUUCAUUUUUUUUUUUUUUUUUUUUGCUUGCAUUUGCUUUUUUCUUCUAGUUCGUAAAAUGUGGUAUGACUAAGUUUUUCUAAAACUCUUCUAAGUAAUUCAGUAAAGAGCACAAGGAUUGGCUUAGGUGGUGGAUCUUUUGAUUUUUUUAUGAAACUGAAAUGUAGCCAAUUUCUCUAGAGUUUCCAGGUAAUCUCCUUCACAUAUCAGCAACUGAAUUAGCCAAGACUACCUAGAAGUCUUACUUAAGCUUCUAUAAUUUAGAGAGUUGAAAAGAGAAAUCAGCCUCUGACAUUAUGUCCAUGAAUUGGGCUGACAAGAUAUAUUCAUUUGAGUAUAUUUCUUGUAAUUCGGAGAGCUGAAAAGAAAUCAGUUUCUAGCAGUUACAUUCAUGAAUUUGGAUAACAAUGUUUUGAAUUUUCAGUUAUUUGCUUAUCAUAAGUGUAGAUGUUGUUUGGCCAUUGUUCCACACAAGUUGUGGUGUUACUAUUUCACUAGCUACUCACCAAUUUCGUUAUUUCAAUACUCAUCAGUGGAACCAAAAAGUUUAUCCGUCCUACACUAUAUGAAUGUGGCAUCAACUCUCAUUUUCCCGUCAUCUGCAUCUCACUUGACUUCUGAUUUAUUUCCUGUAAUGUAUCAGUCAUUGCAUUUGAUGCUAAUUGCUUCGUUUCAUGUACUUUUUCAUGCAUAGUAAUGCUAUUAGAUUCUAAACUAGUUCCUUUCAUUAUUCACAAACCUUUUGAUUAAGCUCUGUGUAUAUUGUUUUAUGAUUAUGCGUAAGAAGUUUGUUUCAAUACUGCAAAAUCUGAUUCGGUAGUGUGUGGAACAGUCCAUGCAAGCAACUGAAUACUUUAUAGUUAUUCCACUGUCUUAAGAAUAAAAUUCUGGGUAACCACCCAGCAAGAGAUUUGAUACCAUUGCAAGGAAGAUUAUCAACUCUUGAUAAGCCAUGGUUGCAGCAACAUUGUUCUGAGUGUGUUAUAUGUGAUGCUCAUGAUAUGUGGAGACACAUGAAGAUUUAUUCUUUCAGUUAGAUGCUGGACUGCUUGUCGAUGGUUUGAAGGAAGUUGCAUUUGCAAUGGCCUUAUCCAAGGUGGGCAGCAAGGAGAUGGAAGGCAAAUAACUCGGAUGCAGCAUUGUAUAGAGCCCUGUUAGCAACUACUUUAUAUCAUUUGUGGAUUGAGCCUAAUAAUCUUAGGUUCUAGAUGGCUAAUAGACUUGUGGAUGAACUCGCUAAUAACUCUUAAAUACUUUUUCUUAUUUGGUACAAGGAAAACAGAUUAGAAGGAAAUACUCAU